rnacentral:lncRNA from 1 species
AUACUGUAAUUACGACCAACAUGGAGAUGGAGGUGUUGCCUGGUUGCAUAGAUACAAGAUCGCUGGGGUGGCUACACAAAUCUAGGAGAUGAAAGGAGGUCUUUAGCAAACUGUUUCUUGUGUCACAUGGAGUCAUUUGUUUUCAGAGUUUUGUGAUAAGGCUAUAUUUGGCCAUUGCUUGGAAUGCAUAUCCUCGAGUGGUGAUGGUUGUUGAUACAGUUUGCUUCAUUCAAGGCCUGCUAUUUUCUGGUUUGAUUACCAGCCAUUUUUAUACCUGAAUAAAAUGUUGAAGAUUCCCACUCUGCAAGGUAAUAAAUCCAAUGGAUGAUUCUUUGCAUUAGUACGGACAUGUUGUUAAUUGACUUUUCUACACCCAUGUAACACCUUUUUUUUUGAGGGAAAUGCCAUUAUGGCGGUUUAUAUUUCAUGUGCAAACAUCGAUACAUCGUUUGUCAAUACAUCUACUAGAAAAUCCGGAGGCUCCGAUUUCGAGACAAUGGUUCUAGAGACCUCCGAAUUUCUAGGCAGAUUCCCGAAUUUCUAGCCAACAAAUCUGCCGCCAUAUUGGCCUCCCUAGGACAAUGAGAAAAUUCUAUUGAAAUAAAAUUACGGGCUAAAAACAAGCAUUUUUCAUAAAUUGCUGCUGCCGGACCAAGUGAGUUUCCUCUGUUUUGCAUGAUCUCAAUAACUUCCAUGCAAUCACCUUCUAUGCAAAUACCCAUGUAACACCUUUGUAAUGCAAUGUUAUCUCAAAAUAGUGUUUUAAUCCCUCAAAUUGACUUUUCUACCCCCUAUGUACCUUUGUAAUGCAAUGAUAUCUCAAAAUAGUGUUUUAAUCCCUCAAAUGAAAAGAUAUGGAGGCCGCAUUAAGGCAACUUUUGCGCACAUCUACCACGGCCUCCAUAUCCAUAUGAAGCACGCUGCAUAUCCUAUAUGGU